rnacentral:lncRNA from 1 species
AAAUAGCUGCCCAUGUCAAGAUGUGGGUAUGUGAUUUAAAUAUUUUAAUUUGAAUCACAUUUUACAUAGUCUAGGAAACUGACAAAAGAAUCCUAUAGAGAAUUGUUUUAUAAAGUGAAUAACUGCUUCUCUACCUACCUGCCCCUCUCAUUCUUCUUUUCUGUGCGUGUUUUUGGGGGGCUGUUAUGGGAUAAAUCUUGUUUGGCUUAAAAAUCACUAAAACGCAGCCUUUCAAAUCCAAAACAGAGAGCUUAGGUACCCAACAUUCUAUAGAAUGUAUUAUUUCCUCAAGAGGUUGCUAGGAACAGUUAUGUAGAUCUACCAGGUGCAGGGAAGCACUCCACACUCUCACCCAGGUCCUGUAUCCCUGCAAGACUGCGUUGGAAAGACUGAAGAGCAUCCGCUCCCUCAAAGGUGAAAACCAGAAAUUGGCAGUAGAUGAUAUGCAACUAUUAAAUAUAAUGUGAAGCUUUAGUCUCAAUAGGUUUGGACAAAUAAUAAAUGAAAGUAAUUUUCAAAACUGAAGGGAAGUAAUACCAAGAAAGUCAGCAGAGUGAAAAGAACACUGGAUAGAAUGAAGAGACAAGACUUUUAGUCUCUGGCCAACUUUGGGAGACUUAAUUCACUUUCCAGGCCUCAGUUUCCUCAAUCAAGAAAUUGGAUUUUAGGCAUCUUUUAUCCGUAAUUCUAAAUCCGAGUUGCGAGGACAGAGAACCUGGAGGACUGACACUGGGAAGAUUACAGAAGGCAGAGCUCCAGAGGGCAAAGCAAGAAAAUGUUACAAAUCUAUUUAUUCAAUCCUUGAAACUGAGUGUAUCUGUUCCACUAUCAAAAUGGUUCCCCUUACUUUUUUCUUCCCUUUAAGUCAAGCAUGAAUUUUUCAUAUUUCGUAUAGUGUUUGCUUUAGAAAUAUAACACCUUGUAAACGUAACAAGCCA